rnacentral:rRNA from 1 species
UGGGGAAUAUUGGACAAUGGGGGCAACCCUGAUCCAGCCAUGCCGCGUGAGUGAUGAAGGCCUUAGGGUUGUAAAGCUCUUUCGUCAGGGAAGAUAAUGACGGUACCUGAAGAAGAAGCCCCGGCUAACUUCGUGCCAGCAGCCGCGGUAAUACGAAGGGGGCUAGCGUUGUUCGGAAUUACUGGGCGUAAAGCGCACGUAGGCGGACAUUUAAGUCAGGGGUGAAAUCCCGGGGCUCAACCCUGGAACUGCCUUUGAUACUGGGUGUCUUGAGUACGAGAGAGGUGAGUGGAAUUCCGAGUGUAGAGGUGAAAUUCGUAGAUAUUCGGAAGAACACCAGUGGCGAAGGCGGCUCACUGGCUCGUAACUGACGCUGAGGUGCGAAAGCGUGGGGAGCAAACA